rnacentral:rRNA from 1 species
GACGAACGCUGGCGGCGUGCUUAACACAUGCAAGUCGAACGGAAAGGCCCUGCUUUUGUGGGGUGCUCGAGUGGCGAACGGGUGUGUAACACGUGAGUAUCCUGCCCUUGACUUUGGGAUAACUUCAGGCAACUGGGGCUAAUACCGGAUAGGAGCUCCUGCUGCAUGGUGGGGGUUGGAAAGUUUCGGCGGUUGGGGGUGGACGGGCGGCUUAUCAGCUUGUUGGGGGGGUAGUGGCUUACCAAGGCUUUGGCGGGUAGCCGGCAUGGGAGGGUGACCGGCCACAUUGGGACUGAGAUACGGACCAGUGUCCAACGGGAGGCAGCAGUGGGGAAUAUUGCACAAUGGGCGGAAGCCUGAUGCAGAGACGUCGCGUGCGGGAUGACGGCCUUCGGGUGGUAAACCGCUUUCGCCUGUGACGAAGCGUGAGUGACGGUAAUGGGUAAAGAAGCACCGGCUAACUACGUG